CAGCCGUAAACUAUGCGCGUUAGGUGUAUCGGUGACCACGAGUUACCGAGGUGCCGAAGGGAAACCGUGAAACGUGCCGCCUGGGAAGUACGGUCGCAAGGCUGAAACUAAAAGGAAUUGGCGGGGGAGCACCACAACAGGUGGAGCCUGCGGUUUAAUUGGACUCAACGCCGGGAAGCUCACCGGAUAAGACAGCGGAAUGAUUGCCGGGCUGAAGACCCUGCAUGACCAGCUGAGAGGGAGGUGCAGUGGCGUAGUCGUGU
rnacentral:rRNA from 1 species